CUGAGUUGCAAAACUCCCACAAACCAUCGCGAAUCUUACCCGUACGGUUGCCUCGGCGCUGGCGGUCCGGAAGGCCCUCGGGCCCCCCGGAUCCUCGGGUCUCCCGCUCGCGGGAGGCUGCCCGCCGGAGUGCCGAAACCAAACUCUUGAUAUUUUAUGUCUCUCUGAGUAAACUUUUAAAUAAGUCA
rnacentral:misc_RNA from 1 species